UACGUAGGGUGCGAGCGUUGUCCGGAAUUACUGGGCGUAAAGAGCUUGUAGGUGGUUUGUCGCGUUGUUCGUGAAAUCUCACGGCUCAACUGUGAGCGUGCGGGCGAUACGGGCAGACUAGAGUACUGCAGGGGAGACUGGAAUUCCUGGUGUAGCGGUGGAAUGCGCAGAUAUCAGGAGGAACACCGGUGGCGAAGGCGGGACUCUGGGCCGAUACUGACGCUGAGGAGCGAAAGCGUGGGGAGCAAACAGG
rnacentral:rRNA from 1 species